rnacentral:misc_RNA from 1 species
UUUUUUUGUUAUGGUUUUUGUUGCAUUCUUUGACUCAUGUUUAAAUAAAGAGACUAGCUUCCAGUCUAAUAAAAGACCUUUCACUAAUCAAGGGUGCACAGAGUUGGAGAGUGGAGGUCAGGCUGCUCGAAAGCACGCCCUAAAAUUCACUAAUGAUCCUUCCGCAGGUUCACCUACGGAAA